rnacentral:rRNA from 1 species
GAUGAACGCUGGCGGCGUGCCUAAUACAUGCAAGUCGAGCGAACAGACGAGGAGUUUGCUCCUCUGACGUUAGCGGCGGGCGGGUGAGUAACACGUGGAUAACCUACCUAUAAGUCUGGGAUCACUUCGGGAAACCGGAGCUAAUACCGGAUAAUCUAUUGAACCGCAUGGUUCAUUAGUGAAAGACGGUUUUGCUGUAUCUUAUAGAUGGUUCCGAGCCGCAUUAGCUAGUUGGUAAGGUACCGGCUUACCAAGGCAACGAUGCGUAGCCGACCUGAGAGGGUGAUCGGCCACACUGGAACUGAGACACGGUCCAGACUCCUACGGGAGGCAGCAGUAGGGAAUCUUCCGCAAUGGGCGAAAGCCUGACGGAGCAACGCCGCGUGAGUGAUGAAGGCCUUCGGAUCGUAAAGCUCUGUUAUUAGGGAAGAACAGAUGUGUAAGUAACUAUGCACGUCUUGACGGUACCUAAUCAGAAAGCCACGGCUAACUACGUG